GUCGCUGACACAUCCAAGGUCUAGUGAGGUGGGUCCAUUGUUUGCAUAUACACAAGAGCCGACAUCGAUGCCCACACCACCCCCUGGUCAGUAUACGUCAUCCUAUUCUGGUGCGUAUGUGAACCCUAUUAUUUUCACACCAGCACGAUAUAUUCCACCACAUUUUUCUAUUUCUCCACAUUACACAAUGAUGCAAUCGACAUUUUCGCCAACGACAAUGUCAACGACGACGUAUAGGAUGUCCAUGUUUCGGCCACUGACUAAGAGUCCAAUCAUUAUGUCACUGGUGUACGAAACACA
rnacentral:lncRNA from 1 species